rnacentral:tRNA from 1 species
UAAGACUUGUGAACCACUAGUUCACAUCUUCUGAAUGCAACUCAAACACUUUCAUUAAGCUAAAGCCUU